rnacentral:rRNA from 1 species
UGUUUUUUGAUUUGUUAUAAAAAAUAUAGUCUGCUCACUGAAGAAUUAAAGAGCUGCAAUAAUUUAAUUGUACAAAGGUAGCAUAAUCAUUUGUCUUUUAAUUGAGGACUGGAAUGAAGGAUAUGAUGUGAGAGUUAGUGUCUUUAUUUAAUAGAUUGAAAUUUAUUUUUUUGUUAAAAAGCAAAAAUAUUCUUAUUAGACGAGAAGACCCUAAUGAACUUUAUUUUUAUUUAUGAUUAAAUUAAUAACUGUUAAUUAAUUGAUAAAAAUUUUACUGGGGCGGUGUAAAGAAAUUAAGAAUCUCUUUUUUAAAAAAUUAUUUGAUAAUAUAUUUUAAUCCAAUAUGAUUGAGAAAUAAAAAGUUACCAUAGGGAUAACAGCGUAAUUUUUUUAUAGAGUUCUUAUCGAUAAUAAAGUUUGCGACCUCGAUGUUGGAUUAGGAGUUCUUUUUGGCGUAAAAGUUAAAAUAGAUAAUCUGUUCGAUUAUUAAUUUCCUACA